rnacentral:rRNA from 1 species
GACGAACGCUGGCGGCGUGCCUAAUACAUGCAAGUCGAACGAAGCUGUUUUAACUGGUGCUUGCACCGACUUAAACAACUGAGUGGCGAACGGGUGAGUAACACGUGGGUAACCUGCCCCAAAGCGGGGGAUAACAUUUGGAAACGGAUGCUAAUACCGCAUAAUCACAGAAACCACAUGGUUUCUGUGUCAAAGAUGGUUUCGGCUAUCACUUUGGGAUGGACCCGCGGCGUAUUAGCUAGUUGGUAAGGUAAUGGCUUACCAAGGCAAUGAGACGUAGCCGAACUGAGAGGUUGAUCGGCCACAUUGAGACUGAGACACGGCCCAAACUCCUACAGGAGGCAGCAGUAGGGAAUCUUCCACAAUGGACGAAAGUCUGAUGGAGCAACGCCGCGUGAGUGAAGAAGGUUUUCGGAUCGUAAAACUCUGUUGUCAGAGAAGAACGUGUGCGAGAGUAACUGUUCGUGCAGUGACGGUAUCUGGCCAGAAAGCCACGGCUAACUACGUGCCAGCAGCCGCAGUAA